rnacentral:lncRNA from 1 species
UUUUUAGUAGAGACAAGGUUUCACCAUGUUGGGCAGGAUGGUCUCGAUUUCCUGACCUCGUGAUCCGUCCGCCUCGGCCUCCCAAAGUGCUGAGAUUACAGGCGUGAGCCACUGCACCCGGCCCCUCUGAUUUUUAAAUGUGUAACUAAAUUAAAAAAUUUUUAAGCCCAGCCAGGUUGGUCUCGAACUCCUGACCUCAAGUGAUCCACCCGCCAUGACCUCCCAAAGUGGUGGGAUUAGAGGCAUUAGCCACCAAGCCCAGCCAAAAAAAAAAAAAACUAUUUUUAAACCCUGUGUAAGUCAGACCUGUCUGCAAGCCAGAUUUGGGCCAAGGACCCUUAGCGGAUUAGAUCAGAAUCUCAUGUUCUGAUAGUUCUUACUUUGUACCUCCACAAAGGUGAACCCCUGAGAGAGAAAAGGUUGCUUCCUAUCAGCAGAAUUUAGACCCCUACAUUAAAGUUUUGCCUCCCCCAUUCUUUGGUUGUGGUUAUGUUAAGGAGAUACUGGUACUAAGAAAAACUACUAAAACUACACGUACACAUGGUCCCCAACUUCCUAUGGUUCAGCUUUAUGAUUUUUUUCAACUUUACGAUGGUGUGAAAGCAAUAGAUGUUGAGUAGAAACUGUACUUCUCUUGCACUGCUAGGCAGCAAUUGGUAAUAAGUUUAUCUAGAUGUAACCCCAUUGUAAGUCAAGGAACAUCUGUAGAGUGAGAGAAAGCAUGGAAAUCUUCUGCUGACUUGCAGGAUCCAUUCACCACUCAUUGGUAAAGGAUGAAUUCCUUGUUUUUACCUUUUUUUUUUUUAAGAGGGUCUCUUGCUGGAUGCAGUGGCUCACGCCUAUAAUCCCAACACUUUGGGAGGCCAAGGCAGGUGGAUCAUAAGGUCAAGAGGGCGAGACCAUCCUGGCCAAUAUGGUGAAACCCAGUCUCUACUGAAAAUAGAAAAAUUAGCUGGACGUGGUGACACACGCCUAUAGUCCCAGCUACUUAGGAGGCUGAGGCAGGAGAAUUGCUUGAACCCGGGAGGUGGAGGUUGCAGUGAUCCAAGAUCGCGCCACUGCACUCCAGCCUGGCAAAAGAGCAGCAAGACUUCAUCUCAAAAAAAAAAAAAAAAAAAAACAGGGUCUCUGUAUGUUGCCUAAGCUGGUCAUGAGCUCUUGGGUUCAAGUCAUCCUUCUACCUUGGCCGCCCAAAGGGCUGUGAUUACAGGCAUGAGCCGUUACACCCAGCCUGCUGUUAUCAAGUAUGCAUUUAAGUCUUGCCCAAAGUAUUUGUGUAUUUUGGUACUUUUAAUGCUGUUUUAAAAUGAACAUUCCUUAAAGUUGACUGGACCAUUUCUAAUACAAUAAGGAUAAUUUUAAAAGACCUGGAAGAAAUUCAGUUUUCAUGAAUAUUAUACUGUUAAGAGAGGGAAAAAAAUAUCGACCUUGAUGAGUUUUUCUUACAUGUGUUCUUGUUUGCUAUGAAUUCAUUGGGAGAAAAUAUUUGCUGCCUUUUUACUGUGCAUUCCAACUGUAUUCUUAAAACAUUUCAAAAUGUAUGUAUAUUU